AUGCGGUCUUCUGCUUGAGCACAAUAAAUACUUUUUAGUGCUGAAGGUUUGGCUUUACCUGACUUUGAAGGUAGGACAAAGAUGUAUUUUACCCUACCUUGGCACCGGAGGAAGCACCAUUGCUGCAGAUGGGGCUCAGUCCGCUUGUGAGAGCUGUGCUGUACUGAAAGCUCAGGAGCCAGUCCUCACCUGGGAUCAGUAAGCAAAGCCUAUCUGGUGAAAAGCACUCGGCUUUGGCGGAGCGUAGCAGGUUUGUUUGUCAGUGCUUCAGAGUUACUAGGGCUGUGAGCUUUUGAAGCAGUGGCAGCAAAUGAAGGGUUUCUCCUAAUUUCAGCAGUCAAUCUGUGUUGCCAUGCACACUCCGUCUAGCUCAGGGUACUGCCGGUACAAUGCUGGCAGCUUUAAGACACGAGCAAGUCUGCAGGGAAAAUGCCUUUUACGCCAGUGAAGACCAAAAACAUCUGAUGGCAGGUCACAGACCAGCAGUGCCCGUGCUCCCGGAGACCUCUCCAUCCAGCUGCCUCCCUCCCAGUCUUGGAUACAAAGGCUGCAGCGGCCAGCAGCAUGAAUGCGUGAGCAGCAGUGUCGAAGAGCCUCACUCAUCUCUAGCAGCAUCCAGAACACAGGACUUUGAUUUGAUUCAUCUCCAUCCUCUGGUCACCUCUCAGUGCUGAUGCAAGGAGAAAAGCUGGCACUGCAGUUCUGGUAGGCGGAAGGUCUCCUUAGACAGAAAAGCAGUGUUGCCUGCGCAGUGUAGCAGAGGUGUGCGGGUGAGUCUCCUGCCAGCAGUGCAGGCUGCCUCUGCUGCUGCUUGCUGCCUCCCUGGCCCAGCCCAUGAAGCUUCGAUUCGGAGGAGGCAGGGAAAGUUGGAAGUCUGCAGCUGCAUUCCCAGAGUUGUGAAUUUCCCAGUAGGUGUUGCACAGACGGAAUUUUGUGGGUGUCCAUUUGUUUUGCGCUGAAUGCAUUGACUUCAGCAGUAGCUCAGGAUAUUUGGGGAAAAAAAACAACAAGGUUGAAGCACAAGCAUUUUAAAAGAAAUACUGCCAGUGCCAGCGUCCAGUGCAGACAGCCCCAG
ensembl:lncRNA